rnacentral:tRNA from 1 species
GCUUCUGUAGGAUAACGCGGCUUGAUUCCGUUGGCUUUAGGCGCCAAAUAUUCUUGGUUCAAACCCAAGCAGAAGCU